GAUGAACGCUGGCGGCGUGCCUAAUACAUGCAAGUCGAGCGGAAAGGCCCUUCGGGGUACUCGAGCGGCGGACGGCUGAGUAACGCGUAGGAACGUACCCCAAAGUGAGGGAUAACUGCUCGAAAGAGUAGCUAAUACCGCCUGUGCUCUUCGGAGUAAAGCUUCGGCGCUUUGGGAACGGCCUGCGUCCUAUUAGCUAGUUGGUGAGGUAAUUGCUCACCAAGGCGACGAGAGGUAGCUGGUCUGAGAGGAUGAUCAGCCAGACUGGGACUGAGACACGGCCCAGACUCCUACGGGAGGCAGCAGUAGGGAAUUUUCCACAAUGGGCGAAAGCCUGAUGGAGCAACGCCGCGUGCAGGAUGAAUGCCUUCGGGUUGUAAACUGCUUUUAUAGGUGAAGAAUAUGACGGUAACCUAUGAAUAAGGAUCGGCUAACUCCGUGCCAGCAGCAGCCGCGG
rnacentral:rRNA from 1 species